ensembl:Mt_rRNA
ACCAAUGCUAGCCCUAAACUAACCAACACUACUACCAAACUAACAUUUUCAUAUUAAACCAUUUACAAAUAUAAAAGUAUAGGUGAUAGAAAUUUAUUCUGGCGCCAUAGAUACAGUACCGCAAGGGAAAGAUGAAAAAAAAAUAAUUAAGUACAAAAUAGCAAGGACUCACCCCUAUACCUUCUGCAUAAUGAAUUAGCUAGAGAUCACUUCGCAAAGAGAACUGAAGUCAAGUACCCCGAAACCAGACGAGCUACCCAAAAACAGCUGAAAGAGCGCACCCGUCUAUGUAGCAAAAUAGUGGGAAGAUUUCUGGGUAGAGGUGAUACACCUAUCGAGUCUGGAGAUAGCUGGUUAUCCAAGAUAGAAUCUUAGUUCAACCUUAAGCUUACCCACAGAACCAUCAAUCCCCCUGUAAACUUAAUUGUUAGUCUAAAGAGGGACAGCUCUUUAGACACUAGGAAAAAACCUUAUACAGAGAGUAAAAAAUUCUAAAUCCAUAGUCGGCCUAAAAGCAGCCAUCAAUUAAGAAAGCGUUCAAGCUCAACACUAACUGCCUAAAAAAUACCAGACAUCUUACUGAACUCCUUACAUUACAUUGGAUUAAUCUAUCAUUUUAUAGAAGCAAUAAUGCUAGUAUUAGUAACAUGAAUAAAUUCUCCUAUGCAUAAGCCUAAAUCAGACCGAAAACUUCACCGAUACUUAACAGUUCAAUUCUAAUAAUCACAACCAAGCCAGUAUUACAUAAACUGUUAACCCAACACAGGCAUGCUUCCAAGGAAAGGUUAAAAUAAGUAAAAGGAACUCGGCAAACUUAACCCCGCCUGUUUACCAAAAACAUCACCUCUAGCAUUACUAGUAUUAGAGGCACUGCCUGCCCAGUGACAUCUGUUUAACGGCCGCGGUACCCUGACCGUGCAAAGGUAGCAUAAUCACUUGUUCUUUAAAUAGGGACUUGUAUGAAUGGCAACACGAGGGUUUAACUGUCUCUUACUUCCAACCAGUGAAAUUGACCUACCCGUGAAGAGGCGGGCAUACGACAAUAAGACGAGAAGACCCUGUGGAGCUUCAAUCUACUAAUGCAACCAAAAUUAAUACAAACCUACGGGUCUAACACACCCCACCCCUGCAUUAGAAAUUUUGGUUGGGGUGACCUCGGAGCAUAAUUAAACCUCCGAAUUAAACCACGCCAAGACUACACUAGUCAAAGCGACUUAAUAUUUUAUAAUUGAUCCAAUAACUUGACCAACGGAACAAGUUACCCCAGGGAUAACAGCGCAAUCCUAUUCCAGAGUCCAUAUCGACAAUAGGGUUUACGACCUCGAUGUUGGAUCAGGACAUCCUAAUGGUGCAGCAGCUAUCAAGGGUUCGUUUGUUCAACGAUUAAUAGUCCUACGUGAUCUGAGUUCAGACCGGAGAAAUCCAGGUCGGUUUCUAUCUAUUUCGCAUUUCUCCCUGUACGAAAGGACAAGAGAAAUGGGGCCCACUUCAUAAAGCGCCCUCCUUUCAUAAAUGACAUAAUCUCAAUUUAGCAAAAACCGCACACACACAACCCAAGAACAGGGAUU